UUUUGCUCCUCAAAUGCCUUCAGGGCAGGUUUGGCUGACUGGAGUGUUGUGGGAAUCCAACUACAGCAACCUGUGGGUGACAGUUUUGAGAAAGGCCAGGCUCCC